ensembl:lncRNA
CACACACACACACACACACACACAUUUCGUCCUGCGGGAACACAGCCGCUGCGGGAGGAAAGCACGAGUUUCAUCAGAUGAAACAGUAAGAUGUCCAAAAGGUACUCCUUCCCACAGCCUCCCAGGACUGCUACCAGAUACAUGUGACGACUGACAAGAGAUAAGUUAAAAUAAAUAACUGGAAGUAAAUGAAAACAUGGAAACAGUCAAGGAGUCAUAGGACCAAAGAGCAUGAUACUCCAGGCUAGUAAUUUCACUAUUCAAUGCCCUGAGUUUUGUUGCCGUUUCCUAUAUAGGCAGCCUCAGCAAGCCUAGACUGAGUAGCUGAGCUGUGAAACUCAUUGCCAUAAGGUAUUAUAAAGGCUUAAAAAUGAGUAAACUCUAAAGAGACGAAUUCUUGGAAGCCCUGCCACAGUUACUGAAUGCAGUGUCCAGAUGCAUUACCUGGGUGUAUAACAGUAAGGAUGCAGAGUCGACCUGAGUUAAGAUAUGUGCUGUGAGUGAAAAAGCUUGAUUCAGUUUUUCUCCUGAGGAGAAGGUGGCUGCUUCAGUUCUGCUGCACCUCAGGAUGUGUUGUACCUAGGCAAGUCUCACAUCAUUUCAUGUCCUGCUAUCAAAAGUUUCAUUGCCUUUAUGCUACUUAAAAAAGCUAUGUUAAAAUGCACACACAUAUGUAGGCUGAUUAAAUAACCUUUUGUUCCCUAACUCUAAAACAUAUUUUUUUUUCCCUUUGCUACUACGUGGAUCAAGCAGCUCUAGAGUCUAUGAAGUGAGCCUAAUUUAUUCCUGACUUGUGCUGGAAUAAUUUAUGUUCUUGAGCCUUUGCAGAUGUAUAGUCACUAGAGAGCUGCCUGCUUACGGGAGUUUUUACACAUAUUUUGUCUAAAUCAGAGCUCCAAAUGCAAUGUCGGAGAUGCAGGGAGUUUGUGUGGAUUUGUAGCACUCCCUGGAGGACUCUGUGUCUAUAAACCAAUAAACAUUUCACAAUUCUCAGCAAGUGAAGAUUUUCAUAAUUUCUGAUGUAUGCAGUAUUGACCAUGCUUCUCAUUUUAAUUUCAGUAAUAUUCCAUAGGUAAUAAGUAAUUGGAAAAUAAAUUCUUGCAGGUGAACGCUAAAAGCAAAAAUUAGUCUUUCUAUACUUAGCUGCUGCCAUUUUCUUAUUAUAAACUAAAGAGGCGAAACAAAAUAAUCAUUUAUAAACAAAACACAUCUCACACUGGUUGAAAACUACAGUGAGAUGCAGAUAUUUUGUGGCCAAAACAUUCAAAAAGAAGGCAGGAAGAAACAGCCAUCUCAUUUCUAUAUAGAUUGAUUAUUUUUUCUUUGCAUAUGUAGUUUGACCAUCACAGGUUCAGCUGAAAAUAGUUAAUUCUUCAGAAAACUGACUGUGCCAACCUGUAGGCAGAUGUGAAGGUUAAAAUUCCUAAUUGUUGCUCUGAAAUCAGUUGAUACAAAGGAUGAUUAAAUACAGGGUCAAGACUUCAAAUUUAUUCCUUAGUCAGUAAGAUGUUAAUUUGGUAAGAAAGUGACUACAAAAUGUUUUCUGAAAGAGUCAGAACCCAUUGCUGCAUGUGGAGAACUGCAAACAUACCGACAGCAUGUACGGCUGGUGUUUACAGAGGUCUAUGAAUAAUAAAUAAUCUAGUUAAAUAACCAUUGUUAGAGCUAUGCAAACAAGAGAGCAAAUAAAUCAAGACCUCCUGCUCAUGCAUAGAUACCAACCACAGUACUUUUUCAUUUUUUUUUCUUUGUUUUCUUUGUUUGCUUAAAUAGGAGAGACAAAUAGCGGAUGCAGGUGUAAUCAGCUAAAAAUUGUGAAGCUAGUAAGAAGUGUUUUGGAAAAGAUCACCAAGUGGAUCAAUCCCCCUAUCAGAAACAGUCAGCAGGGGAAAGCAGUUUGCACCAGUAUAUGUACCCUGCCAUUCAGACUGUAUCAAUUUGUUUCUGCAACUGGCAUAAUGUGGCACAGUUCAGAGAGAAUCUCACAUAUGACUGCUGACAUACAGACAUACAGUGCUGGAAGUAAAGGAGAUUCAUGAGCAAAAGUGAAAAGGCUGCUUUUUUUUUUUUUUCACUUUUUUUUUUUUUUCUCCUUCAUAUGGGAAUUCAACUGUUUUAUUUUGUAUAGUGUUAUAUGUAAAAUCCAUUCUUUUAAACUGAUAUUACUACAUUCAGUGCUUAUAGUAUUCUGUUUAUUGUUUCUCUGUGUGAUUGUCUAUCUGUGCAGAAUUUCAUAUGAAAAAAUGAAAUACAUGGAUUACAUAUCAAGUACCUGCUUCCUUGCGUUAUCCUAUCCAGAAAUAAUAAUGUUUUUUAUGUUGAAAGAUGGUUGGGAAAAGGUUAAUUCUGUAUCUGGAUAAGUAAGAUACAUUUAUUUCCUAAUUCUGUAUUUCAUUUCUGGGAAUUUCUAUGAUAUAACCCCCUCUACUUGCCUAUCCAGUUGCUGUUUAAAU